rnacentral:rRNA from 1 species
AACUCUUAGCGGUGGAUCACUCGCUGUGUCGUCGAAUGAGACGCAAGCUAGGCAGAAUUAUGUGAAUUGCAGGACACAUGAUCAUCGACACUUCGAACGCACUUGCGGCCCCGGGUUCUCGGGCUACGCCUGUCUGAGCGUCG